UUAUGGCAGGUGGAAAGUCUUGGCUGUUAAUCUUGAGAAGGUGAGUGGGGACGCUAUCCUCCCACCCUAAGCAAACUUGAAGAUAUGGAAGCGGAGGGAUACUUGGUGGUCCUGUCUGCAUCGAAGACCAAAGGUAUUGCUGAGGUAGCUGUAUCAUCUAAAGCUUUAGAGGAUCUUACAAAAAUGCAGGAUGAUGGAUAUUGACCUUUGAUUUACUAUCUAAUUCUCUUGGCAAGACAUUAGAUUUGGAGAAACGUGAUGCAAGGGAAAACAUUCCACGAGCUUCAGCUACAUUCACAUCUUACAUGAAAUUU